rnacentral:rRNA from 1 species
AACGAACGCUGGCGGCGUGCCUAACACAUGCAAGUYGAACGGAUUAUAGCUGUAGCAAUACAAGGUAUAGCUUAGUGGCGGACGGGUGAGUAACACGUAGGUACCUACCCUUAGGCGGGGGACAACUCAGGGAAACUUGAGCUAAUACCGCAUAAAUCCACGGCUGGGAUGCUUGUGGGAAAWGUGGCAACACACCUAAGGACGGGCCUGCGGCCUAUCAGUAGUUGGUGGGGUAAGAGCCCACCAAGCCGAAGACGGGUAGCCGGGCUGAGAGGUUGGCGGCCACACUGGAACUGAGACACGGUCCAGACUCCUACGGGAGGCAGCAGUGGGGAAUCUGCGCAAUGGGGGAAACCCUGACGCAGCGACGCCGCGUGGAGGUUGAAGGUCUUCGGGUGUAAACUCCUUUUCUUGGGGAAAAUGAUGAUGGUACUCAAGGAAUAAGCCACGGCUAACCUGUGCCAGCAGCCGCGGUAAGAYAGAGGUGNCGANCGUUGUUCGGAAUUACUGGGCUWWWGMGSGRGUAGGCGGUAGAGCAAGUVUGAGGUGGUUCCUAUGCUUAACCAUAGAAUUGCUUAGAAACUGCUUUACUUGAGUCAGUGA